rnacentral:ncRNA from 2 species
UAAGGCCAUGCGGGAGAGUUCGACGCGGUUCAAACCGGCGUCGGCGCCGACGGAGCAACCCCCCAGGAAACUCUCAGGCACCAGGGACCGCACCAGCCGG